GUUUAUUAGGAGGUUUGUUAAAUCAACGUCAAAGUCAAAAUAAGAAAUUUCAAAUCAAACAAAAUAGAAUAAAAAUUUAUUUUUACGUUUUAUUUAUUGAAUUUAACGAUUUGUGUAAUGUUAAACAAGAAAUUUUAAACGAUUCUCCAUGGACAAGAACCAACAAAGAGUUCAAAAAUGCAUUCAGAAUCUGGUAUAAGUUAUUGUGUCCAGAGGUUUGGCGUGUUUCACAGAAUCCUCCAGCAAAAACAAUAUGUAAAUCACCCAAAGAAACUACUGAAAGCUGAGCCUGACAAACCUGAGGUAUCAUCUACCUGGCUGCGACUUAUACUUAUGUUUUGGAAUUUUAAAGUGAUGAGGGCUGCUCUUCGUUUUGGAGUAGCAGCUCUGAUUAUGAACCACUAUGAGCGAUUAGGUUUUGCUACGUUAAUACUGUGUAUUGCUUUGUGACUAGAAUAGUGGCAACUUGAAUUUUGCUGAGUUAAUGGUACAAAAGAUAUUGAUGGAGCACACCACUGGUAAUUUUUCUUCACUCUGGAUAAUCACUGCUUAACUGUUAACUGACAAGGUAUUUAGGUAUUUCAGAGUAUAUUAAAAAAUAUGAAAUUUGGUUUUUGGUGUUAGUUUGGCAUUGCAAACAAUAUGCAAUAACAAUAAAACUCACGGCUUUUACUGCAUACUAUAAAAGCAAAUCUAAAUAUACAAUAUCUACACCUACCCUUGGUAAUGUGUUUGGCUCAAUGAGCAACUGAAUCCUGUGACUUGUGGUACAGUCACGGUUACUGAAUAGUUUACACCUUCAUUUUUAUAUUGUAAAACUGUAAAAUCACAGCGUUGUACAAUUUAUUAAACGUCAAAUUGCUUCUCAAAAAUUUCAUGCGUAUUGAAAAA
rnacentral:lncRNA from 1 species